AAUAUAAGCGACGCUAAGUAAAAUUUGUGACAUCCUAAAGGACAAAAUAAAAUUUAGCGCCUAAAUUCUUUAAUUUUUCAAUUAGGCGCUUUAUUUUCAGAUGAAAACAAUCCAGCGCGCCUUCAAUUUCAUUCUCUAGAAUCAUCAUUCUCUUCCUGCACCUUCUCCACUUUCCUAUUCAACUGAAAAAUAAGAGGCCUAAUAUAUCCAAUCAGAGAUUUUGGGGGAAUCAUCGGAAACUUUGGAGCAAAAUUUGAGAUCCCAGAGCACAAUCGGAGAUUUUCCAUCCAAGCCUGAGCGCCAUUGUUGGUGUGCAAGGCUUGGUGCGAGGCGCUGCUGUAGCUGAGGCAUGUGAUGAUGUACAUGCGGUGGAGGAAGCGGUUCAAGCACAGCCGCGGAUGAGUCAGUCCGAAUACGGACAAAGCGCUCGACGCGUUUCUAAGGAGUGCAGCUUCUAGGUCCCCCAUGGCUAUGGUGGACGCCAGGCUCAUAUACUGCGGAGAGGUCUCAAGGAGAAGGUCAUCGCUUUGUAUCAGAAAGUUGCGAAAUUGGGAGAUCAUGCUGUGCAGUGGAAUUUGAGAAUUUUCUAUUUGCAAGGUAUUAAUUUUACCAAUUAUCUUCUAUUUUAGUAUUUAUAAUCAUGAAAAUAUGUGAUAGAAUUUGAUUAUUAUGGAACUGAAAUUUGCUAGUAUAAAUCUGAUUGUGACUGUACUUCUUUCAAUGAGUGCAUAGUUCGAAUAUACUGAGAAGACUAGUUGUCCUUAAGUUGGGUAGAACAGCAAAAUAGGGUCAAUGUUAGUGUACUGCUGUUUGGAUUAGGAAAAUUGAUUUUGAACUGUUAGAACAUUUGGACCAGAAAGAAGUUCGGGGGAAAUUGAAUUCUCCAUUUAAUUAGUGCUUGGGUAGAAUGCUCUUAUCUUCAUUGUGAAAAUUUGAUCAAUUUUUGGUCCCAGAGUUAGAUGAAAUGUGUAAUUUCAACUAGGUUUCCAAUUCAUUCAGGGUAUGGUGGAGAGUUUGGUUAAUCACUCUGCUUUGAGGAUGUCCCUGUGUAGGUAAACACUAUCAUUCGUAAGCAUGGCUCUGUAUAGUACUGUCCAAGGUCCCAAAGAUAAAUUAUAUUCAAAACAUAUGAAUAUUCUUAUAUUUGGAUAUGUUUUUUUUUCUUGUGUUGUGGUGAUGGUAUUGAAGGUUGAGCUCUCAUAUCAUUACCUUCGAGCAUGAGGAAAACUGGAGUAAGGCCCUUGAGUACUAUGGAUUUUGGUUCCAGAAGUUUGUCAGUGGAAGAGACUCAAUCAACAUAUCGUUUAUCCACACCCAUAUUGGAAAAUGCAAUGAGGCAGAGGAAACCGUAUAAAGGUUUGAUUGGGUCAUUGCAGCAAACUAGUUGUAUGCAUGAUCUGGAUUUGUAUUGCCAAGGAUUUAUAUGCAAUGGACAUGUUUGACAUUCUGUUGUUUGAGGGCACUUAAAGAGGGAGAUUACAAUGAAUUCCAUGGAAAGCUGAAAUAUUCAAAGCAGGUGAUAUUAGUGUCAACUUUGUCUCCCCUACAAGUUGGACAUGUAUAAUUUUACUUAUGCUGUGUGUUCAUAUGUUUCAGGAGCUUCACGAUCUGUUUCUAGCGUUGUGUGUUCAUAUGUGUCAAGAGCUUUGAAGUCCAUUUCUAGCGCUGUGUGUUCAUAUGUGUCAGGAGCUCCGCAAUUUGUAUGUCACUUGUUGCAGGUUCUAGAUAAAGACUACAUGAUGUCGUUGGUGUAUAAUACUAUAAUUGAUACGACCAUUCAACUGACUUUAAGUACAAGUGUAGUGUUGCUUUCA